ACGGAAGGCAGCAGUGAGGAAUAUUGGUCAAUGGGCGAGAGCCUGAACCAGCCAAGUCGCGUGAAGGAUGAAGGUUCUAUGGAUUGUAAACUUCUUUUAUUCGAGGGUAAAGUGAGUCACGUGUGGUUCAUUGCAAGUAUCGAAUGAAUAAGCAUCGGCUAACUCCGUGCCAGCAGCCGCGGUAAUACGGAGGAUGCGAGCGUUAUCCGGAUUUAUUGGGUUUAAAGGGAGCGUAGGCGGGUUUUUAAGUCAGUGGUAAAAGCGUGUGGCUCAACCAUACCACGCCAUUGAAACUGGAAGCCUUGAGUGCACACAGGGAUGCUGGAAUUCGUCGUGUAGCGGUGAAAUGCUUAGAUAUGACGAAGAACUCCGAUCGCGAAGGCAGGUGUCCGGGGUGUAACUGACGCUGAGGCUCGAAAGUGCGGGUAUCAAACAGGAUUAGAUACCCUGGUA
rnacentral:rRNA from 1 species